GGCGCCCCUUCUCCCCCUCCCUCGCUCGGUCACGGGCCGGCGGUAGGCCUCGCGGCGGCGCAGUGGAGCAGGAGCCCUGCCCCCGGCGAGAUCCAGCCCAGGCCGAUGGCCAUGGCGCGGCGGCACCCCUCCGGCCGGAUCCGCGCGGGCCCAGGCGUGCGAGCGGCCUCCUCCCUCCGCGCGGCCUCGACGGCGGGACGGACCGGCGUGGGGCAGCUCGGGGCCUCGAGCUCGCCGGCCUGGAGCACCCACGCAGCGGUGGCGCAGGAGGGGCGGCGCGGCGUGGGGUGCGGGUGGGGCGACACGGUGGAUUUAUCUAGCCAUGUGAUUUCUGUACUUCCAGGGAUUCCACGACUUCCUCCAGGAGAUGAUCUCGCUCAUGGCCACCGUCGUCAGAGAGGAGCGCGUGUACAGCCUGGGCGAGCUCCUUUCGCAAGCCAGCGCUGGCACCCCGUCCUCGCCGCCGUCGCUGCCCUGCCAGGGCCGUCCGGCAGCCUCAGCGCCCUUGUCUCCCCUCGUAGAUCCUCUGCCGCAAAUUUGUUGUUUCCCCCACUUAUGUGGUUGACUGCAUAAAUAUAGAAGUUUUUGGCAUCCCCGACCUCGAUCUGUUAUUACUGCCAUUAAAAGAAGAAUGCUAAAUUUCAUUUCCCAGCUUAUGCAAAGGUAUGCUAUGCUUCUUUCAUUUCCCAAAGUCUACCAUCUCUUCGAUCUUUCCAAAGAAACCAGAAAGCGCAAGCACAUGAAAAUGAAAUCCAGGAGCUUCAAUCGGCUGCAGAGAAGGCCAAAACCCCUGCUCAACUUCACAACAACAAAGAAGGUGGUGUAUGCAAGGUGAACAAAGAAACUGGAUAUAAUCUUUGUGAUCAGACUUCGUCGUGUGCUCCGAUGAUUAGCGGACCUUUACCUCACCAAGCUACAUCUGUAGCUACUAUCACAGCAGGCCAACAGCCAGGUCUGCCCAUCCCACAGCUCAUCAACAGAAUUGGAAGAAACCGAGCUACUGAGCUAUCCCUAACCAUAACUGCAGAAGACAACUCCCAGUUGCCUCUUGGAACUACUGAACAAGUUGAAGAAACAGCUGCCUUUACUGCUCCAGUCAUGUUUCAGCUCCCUUCCCUUGAGAUGACAAUCCCAUUGGUGGACACUUUCCUCGCUUUGUCAGUUCAGAUCCCGUUCAGUUAUAUACCCGUGGAGAAAUG